GACGAACGCUGGCGGCGUGCUUAACACAUGCAAGUCGAACGGAGUGGCGAACGGGUGAGUAACACGUGGGUGACCUGCCCUGUACUUCGGGAUAAGCCUGGGAAACUGGGUCUAAUACCGGUUAGUGUGGGAUGGGCCCGCGGUCUAUCAGCUUGUUGGUGGGGUAUGGGCCUGCCAAGGCGGCGACGGGUAGCCGGCCUGAGGGGGGGGACGGCCACAGUGGGACGGAGACACGGCCCAGAAUCCUACGGGCGGCAGCAGUGGGAAAUAGUGCACAAUGGGCGGAAGCCUGAUGCAGCGACGCCGCGUGGGGGAUGACGGGCUUCGGGUUGUAAACUACGUUCUCCAUCGACGCGGUAGCUGGAGAAGAAGCACCGGCUAACUACGUGCCAGCAGCCGCGGUAAUUC
rnacentral:rRNA from 1 species